rnacentral:rRNA from 1 species
UACAGAGGGGGCAAGCGUUGUCCGGAUUUAUUGGGCGUAAAGAGCUCGUAGGCGGCUUGUCGCGUCGACCGUGAAAACUCGCAGCUCAACUGCGAGCCUGCGGUCGAUACGGGCAGGCUAGAGUUCGGUAGGGGAGACUGGAAUUCCAGGUGUAGCGGUGAAAUGCGUAGAUAUCUGGAGGAACACCGGUGGCGAAGGCGGCAUCCUGGACCGGUAUUGACGCUGAGGCGCGAAAGCUAGGGGAGCAAACGGG